GGGCGGUCCCGCUGCCGGAAGAGAGAGGGCCCCCGGACUCUGGAGGGCUGUGGGUGGGCGGCGGCAGCAGCAACAGCAGUAGCAGCAGUGGGGUUCGCUGAUUCCGAAGCUGUCACCUGCCUGCGGUGUUAUUUACAACAACAAAGCUGAUUAACACAAAAGAAGCCGGGGAAAAGCCGGAGAGACCAGAAACAAUUUCGAUUUUUGUUUCUCUGGACAACAGACACAGAGAGACCCCGGAAGAGGAAUUGUAUUUCCUUCUCUGUAGUAUCUGGCAGAUGAAUUUAUCAGGAAAAAAAAAAAAAUGGCCACUUGGCCUAGAAGGCCAGGAGGGAUUGAAAAUGGCUUCCUGCCAUUAGCUCCAGCUCCGGAAGAACGCAUGCGCCAAUUAGAGCAUCAAAGCCCUCUCUGCAGAGCUCGUUUCCAUAAAAUGGAGCGGAUCGCAAACAAUAACAGUUCUCCAGAAACUGCCUCCCUGCUACAGGACUCAACCCCCAAGCCCAUACACUGGCUCACACUAUACCCGAAUCCACUACUGCCACUGCUAUCAUUUCCUUUGCAUGUAAUUCUGGGGGGGGGGGUAUGGAUAGUGGGUUCUCUUAUGUACUGAUGUUAUUUUUAACGUAAUGCUACUGUAAUUGAGUUUCUGGCACUGAACACUCGCUUAUUAUUUAACAAUUAUAGUAUCGUCCUCAACGCCAUUAACAAAUGCUUCAUAGGAUUCUUUCUCAAAUUUACGGGUUUAAACUUUUUUUAGUUACUUAUAAGCUGGAGCUCGAGUCCAAUUGUAAUGUAUCUCCUCAAGUGCAAGAUGUAAAUAACACAAAAUGCCUUCUUGAAAUAGAAAUGGCAGUUUUGAAAUCUA